UGAACCUUCGGGGAACGAUAACGGCGUCGAGCGGCGGACGGGUGAGUAAUGCCUAGGAAAUUGCCCUGAUGUGGGGGAUAACCAUUGGAAACGAUGGCUAAUACCGCAUAACACCUACGGGUCAAAGAGGGGGACCUCUAGUUGGUGAGGUAAUGGCUCACCAAGGCGACGAUCCCUAGCUGGUCUGAGAGGAUGAUCAGCCACACUGGAACUGAGACACGGUCCAGACUCCUACGGGAGGCAGCAGUGGGGAAUAUUGCACAAUGGGCGCAAGCCUGAUGCAGCCAUGCCGCGUGUCUUUCAGUCGUGAGGAAGGUAGUGUAGUUAAUAGCUGCAUUAUUUGACGUUAGCGACAGAAGAAGCACCGGCUAACUCCGUGCCAGCAGCCGCGGUAAUACGGAGGGUGCGAGCGUUAAUCGGAAUUACUGGGCGUAAAGCGCAUGCAGGUGGUUUGUUAAGUCAGAUGUGAAAGCCCGGGGCUCAACCUCGGAAUUGCAUUUGAAACUGGCAGACUAGA
rnacentral:rRNA from 1 species